rnacentral:rRNA from 1 species
CGGGACGGGUGAGUAAUGUCUGGGAAACGUGCCUGAUGGAGGGGGAUAACUACUGGAAACGGUAGCUAAUACCGCAUAACGUCGCAAGACCAAAGAGGGGGACCUUCGGGCCUCUUGCCAUCGGAUGUGCCCAGAUGGGAUUAGCUAGUAGGUGGGGUAACGGCUCACCUAGGCGACGAUCCCUAGCUGGUCUGAGAGGAUGACCAGCCACACUGGAACUGAGACACGGCCCAG